AAGACGGGCAACAAAAAGACAAAUGAGGCAUACUGAAAAGAAUGCACAAAAGGCAAGCAUGACUGCAGAGUUGCAACUUUUGGAUUUACCCAUGGAGGUCUUGGAGAUGAUACUCCUUGAAGUAGUGCUACAGGAUGGAGAUGCUGCCUACAUGAAUCUGUCUCUUACUUCCAGUUGUAAACAAGGCCCUGUUCAGACAGAAGGCACACUAUGCAUGGCUUGACAGUGUUGUGAACUGGGGAAAAUGGAGUGAAACAUCAAAGGCUGAAUUGCGGGUGCCUUUUGAAAUAAAACUGUGUAAAAUGACAAACCGUGUUCAAAUCCUGCUCAGGUUUUUACGGUAAUGGG